rnacentral:rRNA from 1 species
UCGAGAAUCAUUCGCAAUGGGCGAAAGCCUGACGAUGCGACGCCGUGUGAGUGAAGAAGGCCUUCGGGUCGUAAAGCUCUUUCGCCCUGGAACAAGAGAAGCUGACUAAUAAUCAGCUAAUUUGAGUGUACAGGGUAAAGAAGCACCGGCUAACUCCGUGCCAGCAGCUGCGGUAAUACGGAGGGUGCAAGCAUUAAUCGGAUUUAUUGGGCGUAAAGGGCGCGUAGGCGGGGAUGUCAGUCAGAUGUGAAAUCCCGGGGCUCAACCUCGGAACAGCAUUUGAAACUACAUUUCUCGAGGGUAGGCGGAGAAAACGGAAUUCCACAAGUAGCGGUGAAAUGCGUAGAUAUGUGGAAGAACACCGGUGGCGAAGGCGGUUUUCUAGCUUAUUCCUGACGCUAAUGCGCGAAAGCAAGGGGAUCAAACAGGAUUAGAUACCCCUGUAGUCC